CCUUGUACACACCGCCCGUCACACCAUGGGAGUUGGUUUCACCCGAAGGUGGUGCGCUAACCCGCAAGGGAGGACGGUUACCACGGUGUGAUUCAUGACUGGGGUG
rnacentral:rRNA from 1 species